rnacentral:rRNA from 1 species
GACGUAGGGCGCGAGCGUUGUCCGGAUUUAUUGGGCGUAAAGAGCUCGUAGGCGGUCUGUUACGUCGGCUGUGAAAACCUGGGGCUCAACCCCGGGCCUGCAGCCGAUACGGGCAGACUAGAAUUCGGUAGGGGAGACUGGAAUUCCUGGUGUAGCGGUGAAAUGCGCAGAUAUCAGGAGGAACACCGAUGGCGAAAGCGCUCUGCUGGACCUUAACUGACACUGAGGGACGAAAGCUAGGGGAGCGAAUGGG